GGCAGAAUUUUGCAGCCUUGUUUUGUAAUGAAAGGGAUGAGAUGCUUUCUUCAUUACUAGCUACGGGUUUCUCUCUCUGCCCUAUAACUAGGGUUUCCUCUUAUUCAACUCACAUCUUAAAGCUAGCUUCAAAGAAUUUUCCAUCUCUCUCUCUCUCUCUCUCUCUCUCUCUCUCUCAAAGGCUGAGGCCGCAAAAGUGUUUUCUUCCUUUGUACAAUCAAACUACAGAUCUUGAAAGAGCCUACACUGCACAAGAGGAAAAUAAAACGGUAGCAUUCCUGUUCUCCUCCUGAUCAAAGAAACCUAGUCACAGUAAAGCAUAUAUAUAUAUGGUGGAUGGCUUCUUCUAGUUAUUCCAAUUCUCCAUGUGCUGCUUGCAAGUUCCUGAGGAGAAAAUGCUUGCCAGAUUGCAUAUUUGCACCUUAUUUCCCACCUGAAGAGCCUCAGAAAUUUGCCAAUGUUCACAAGAUUUUUGGUGCAAGCAAUGUGAGUAAGCUGCUCAAUGAGGUCCUUCCCCAUCAGAGAGAAGAUGCAGUGAACUCUCUAGCCUAUGAAGCUGAGGCAAGAAUGAAAGAUCCAGUGUAUGGUUGUGUUGGUGCAAUUUCUGUCCUCCAAAGGCAAGUCAUUAGACUCCAAAAGGAAUUAGAUGCUACCAAUGCUGAUUUGAUAAGGUAUGCCUGUAAUGAAAUGCCACCAACGUCAUUUGGAAGAUCAUCAAGGAUGGGUCAUGGAGGAUCAUCAUCAUCUGCUUCUUAUGAUCAAAAUUCUGCUUUGUAUUAUCCUCCUCCUUGGAAUAAUGACGCUCAAGAGAGAGGAGAUCAUGGUAGCAUUUAAUUUUUAAAUUUAUAUUUUAUUUUAAUAGCAUAUCCUGUAUAACUGUACUUGCAGUACUUUUAACCCCUUUAGGGUUUUCUUCUCUGAAAUUACUAGCCCUGUACUUUGGC
rnacentral:misc_RNA from 1 species